GGACCGUUAGCUCAGCGGUGAGAGCGCCCGGCUCAUAACCGGGUGGUCCGGGGUUCGAAUCCCUGACGGUCCA
rnacentral:tRNA from 3 species